rnacentral:lncRNA from 1 species
CUGGUGGGGGACGGGGGACUGCCCCGUGGACGUGAAACCACGGCCUGGUGGCUCUUGCUGAGACCCACACCCGUGUGAGGUCCUAUAACGCCCAGCAUCAGGAGAGCAGGGCUCGCUUUUGUCUCAUUUCACGUGUGGCGUCCCGGAAGAGCGUCCUGCGCGUGUGAGAGAGUGAGUGACCAGGAGGACACAGGACGCUGCGGUCGUGGUGGGGGGCAGCCCACGGGGCUCAGGGGCACUGCCCCCCCAGUGUAGCGUCCCCCUGGCGUCGUCCCCGGCGCCCCCUCGCCGGCUCUUCACCCUUUGCCCUCUGCUUUCUCAUUCUCUCUCCGUGUGCGAGUCCCUUGAGAAUGAACCCCCACUGACUGUGUCAGUCUGCGUGUCCUU